rnacentral:lncRNA from 1 species
CUUUGAUAGAAGUGCACCCGGGAGUCCUCCGUGAGCCAGUAAACCCGCGUGACGAGACACCUCCAUGCAAGACGCGGCGUCCCAGUGGCCGUACUAGACUCGCUGGAAGAGACAAGCCGACCCAGCCAGCCGCAGCAAGCUUGGGAGUGGCUGUGGGUCUCCUGGCCUGGCUGCG